rnacentral:lncRNA from 1 species
UUCGUCGGCUAUAGUAUUUUUUAAUUUUUUUUAUAAGGUUUAGCCGACGAAUUAUGGCAUGUUUUGUCGGCUAUAGUUAUUUUUAAUUUUUUAUAAGGUUUAGCCGACGAAAUAUUUUAUAUUUCGUCGGCUAUAGUUAUUUUUUAAAAUUUUUUACAAGGUUUAGCCGACGAAAUAUACUAAAUUUCGUCGGUUAUAGUUAUUUUUUAAUUAUUUAUUACACAUUUUAGCCGACGAAUAUCUUAAUUGGUUCGUCGGCUAAAGUCUGGGAAAAAACCCGACGACAUGUUUUUCGUCGGCUAACUGUGGGACUAUAGCCAACGAAAAAAAAAAUUUCGUCGGCUAAAGUCAUCACCGACGACCCUUUCCCGACGACACUAUAGCCGACGAAGGCUCGUCGGCUAAGAUCUUAGCCGACGAAUUAAGAUAACAGGCCGACGAAAAUUUUUCGUCGGCUAAAGUGCUUGUCCUGGUAGUGAUGUGUAGCCGUAUUAUGAAAUCUAACAUUGUAUCAUGACAUUCUCUUCAGAAGAACUAUGUCACUUGGAUAUAUGUGCAUCCCACAAAUCAAAUGGGGUCUAUAUUGUUUUAGAAAAUGACAUCCCACUACCAUAGACAGUUGUAAAACACAGAAAAACCAACAUUCAACAGAUUUAAACAAAUAAGGACAUAAGCCCAAGCCCACAAUGCAUAGUCUCACGCCUUGUCAGCAAUUUUUACGUAAAAUACCUAAAAACCAAUCUUUUCUAAAAAACUACAAAAUUGCCACUGCCUUAACACCAAAAAUAUACUCUCUCUCCGAUCUAUCAUACUCUCUCUCUCUCUCUGCACACCACACAACGCCGAUCGAAUCCGCCGUAAUUGCAAGAUCGACCUCGCCGAUCGUCUCCGCCACCUGCACCUCGCCGAUCGACUCCGUCGCUGCUAGAUCGACUUCGCCGCUCGAUCGACUCCGCCUGCUAGAUAUCUGUUGCAUGCUAGAUCGACCCCGCAUUUAUAGCUAAACACACAAGAUCGAAACCGAAGCACCACAAUUACAGUUCCACAAGCUCCGACUGAGCUGCCCAGCUAUAAAGUCCCACACCGAAAGUGCAGAUUUGCAUUUGCAUCCGAAACGGUGUCGAGUUGGAUACAAAAAUUAUGGUUUCAAAAGAGAGUUGCAGACUCACAGUGACGCUGCACGGCGGGGAAUGAAGCUUGGAGCUGAUCUUCUGAGUCCGGCGCCGACCGAAGCGGUGGGGAUUCGAAUCGGAGAGAGAGAGAGAGAGAGAGAGAGAGAGAGAGAGAGAGAGAGAGAGAGAGAGAGAGAGAGAGAGAGAGAGAGAGAGAGAGAG